AUUGAACGCUAGCGGGAUGCUUUACACAUGCAAGUCGAACGGCAGCACGGUCUUCGGUCUGGUGGCGAGUGGCGAAAGGGCGAGGAAUGUAUAGGCACGUGCCCAGUAGCGGGGGAUAACUACACGAAAGAGUAGCUACUACCGCAAACGCCCUACGGGGGAGAGGGGGGGAUCGCAAGCCCACAGAACAGUGGAGCGGCGGAUAUCGGAUUCGCUAGGUGGUGGGGUAAAGGCCCACCAAGGCGAAGAUCCGUAGCUGGUUUGAGAGGACGACCAGCCACGCUGGGACUGAGACACGGCCCAGACUCCGACGGGAGGCAGCAGUGGGGAAUUUUGGACAAUGGGGGCAACCCUGAUCCAGCCAUCCCGCGUGUGCGAUGAAGGCCUUCGGGUUGUAAAGCACUUUUGGCAGGAAAGAAAUCGCAUGGGUUAAUACCCUGUGUGGAUGACGGUACCUGCAGAAUAAGCACCGGCUAACUACGUGCCAGCAGCCGCCGUAA
rnacentral:rRNA from 1 species